UUGUAAAUGGGAAUAAAGCAGCUGUGAAAGGAUUCAACAUCAAUGUAUCUAUGGUUCGGAAGUCGCCACUGCGGAUGCCGUGGACUGCAUAUUAGAUUUGGCACAGGUUUUCCUGAUGCAACCCUCCCGUUUUUUAACUCUUCAGUGGCUGGGAUCCUGAGAAGGUAUAUAGACUAAUAAACAAUAACUCACUUUUA